rnacentral:lncRNA from 10 species
GACCCAAGCCUGCACACAGCGUGUUCACACCUAUCACAUCUGCUCUGCUCAUGCUUCGUUGUCUCAUCAGACUUCACCGACCAAGCACAAGUUCAAAGCAGAUGAGCCAGCUCCCUUGUGAAGCUGUAAGAACAUGGUACUUACAGGAGUAAGGCUCAUGAAGUGGAGAGAUGAGAAGACUUUCGGGACAGAUUGUGUGGAGGCUGUCAUUCUCCUCGUGACAUUGCUGUGGGAGAAGAAGGAGGCAUUCCAUGUUGGCUUCAGUGAAGAACUUCAGGCUGUAUGAAGCUGAGGCAAGAUUGCGUUCAAUUUAUCUUGUGUUCAACAGUCUUCAAGGUGAUUUAGAUCACUGCCUGGGAAAGCUAAUGUAGUACAGCAUGAGUGGACUCCAGGGAUUGGCCUGUCAUUUACACUGUCAACAGUUCUUGCUUCUGAACAGCAUAUCUUCCUUCCUAGUGUUAUUGAAGACUCAACAUCCUUUCUGAGAGAAGGAUGGAGCAAAUGCCCCAGAUGAAGCCUACACGACAUGAGUCAGAGAACUUUGGCCAGGAUGUCUGGGGAAAAAGUUUCCUCUUUCUUCUCUGGGAACUAUCUGGAGAGGGUUGUUUUAACGCUGGAUGUGAACAGCGACUCGUGUAGCCCCAGAAGCCUCUGACAGCCGCGUUGGAAUCAUAAGUUCUCAAAAUGAAGGUUGUGGUCUAGAAAGCAUAUUGUGAUUUGUACAAGAAGCACAUUCCCAUUUUACAAAAGUACAAAAGCACAUUUUGGACUUUUAACAAAUUCAACUGUUUUGUGUUCUGUGUGAGUAAAUUUUAGGUUGCCCAUCAUUGAAAACCAGUUUAAAAAAAAAUAAUGGGAGUAGAUAAUCCAGACAACAUUUUCUACCGUAUUUGUUGACUCCAGUUGUUGGAAAGUAAAAUUCUGGAGGAAGAGCUGGGAUAUCUCCAGGGGCUUAGUUUAACAUCAUCAAAGACUCUCCUGCUCCCCCUUUGCAUGUUACAGUAUCUGCUUUACCAAUCAGAGGGAAAUUUAUCAUGUAGGAUUUAAAGGAGAUAUUUAUGGCGUCCGUAAGCACAAUGACUUUGACUGGUAAGACGUCAGCUAUUCCCUUUAGGAGAUAAAAGGCCACAGCUGGUGAGGUAAUAGAACAGGAACUGUUUCAAUAUUUCAAAACAGAAGACCUUGUUGAAGAAGAGAGAUUUUAUAUGGCAUUUGCUUUUAUUUUUUUCCUUCUAUGAUGAACAGGUGUGGGAGUCAAUUCAAGAAGGCAGCUUAGAUGAUUGUGAGACAAGGGAGGGAGGUAAAUAUUUUUGAUGGUUGGGGAAGGACUGAGAUUUUCAAACUUCAAACCAAACAUGUAGUCCAAGCCUUUUCUACCUGUGUACACAAAGGAAAGAGGAAACUAAGUCAAUGUAAAAUAGGCAGUUGUUGUUUGGAAAAGUUAUGAAAUCCUCCUGGCUACACAAAACAGAAAGCCCAGCUAUGUGACAAGUGUUUGAUGUAAAUAUGCAAAUGCAGUUUUAAAUUCAUUAUACCUAAGGGAACAAGGUGUCUGGGUAAGGGGGGUUCUACUGUUUCUUAAGCUUACAAAGCAGGUCCUUGAAUAAUGUCAUUUAAGUUCAAUGUAAUUUCCUUAUAAUGUUGAUGAGAAAAAAAAAAUGGAUUCCUAGCUGAAGUCAUUGUGUGUGUGGACUUUGCAUGUCCUCCCCAUGUCUGGUUUCCUCCCAAAACCCAAAGCUGUGUCCGUUAGAUGAAUCAGUGUGUCUCACUGGUCCCAGCGUGAGUGAGUGUUGCUAUGUAUGAGUGGGCCCUGCAAUGGGAAUGGUGACCUGUCUGGGGCUGGUUCCAGCCUGGUACCCUGAGCUACCAGAAGUGGCUCUGGCCCCUUGAGCUUCUGAACUUGAAUAAGUGGGUAAAUUAUUAUCUUACUUGUUUUUGUUAACCUUUCUUAAGUGUAUGUGUAGCUCACCUUCCUUUCAAAGUUAUUUUGAUGUUUAUUUCAAUAUUAGAAGUGUUUGGGUCUUUCUUUAGAAGUUUGGUGAUUUUUUUUUUUGUGACCAAAAUAUGCUGUAGCAACUUAACUCUUGUUUAGAUCGGUUAGCUUAUAGCAAAGCUAUUUUCGUUAUGUGUUCUUUCACUUGAAGUUCCAGUUUCCAAGAACCUAUUGUCCAAGAUAAGUAAGGACUUACUGUACUUCUGGGCACACAAUGGGCUAAGCAUCUUAUAUUAUCAAAUGAGAUGAAAUAAAAUAUAAUGCUAAAAUGAUGUUAAAAAGUUAUCACAUUAUAACAAAUUAUAAGAAUUAUUAAAAUGACAGGAUAUAUUAAAGCACUGUAAAAAGUAAAGCUUAGUAGAUGCAUUAGAGGUUAUGAUUGGCAUUGCUAACAUUAUUAUUAUUAAAAUCCUUCAGUGCUGGGCACCACUUAUUUCUACCCUUAUAACCCCAUGGACCUGUACUGUAUCUUGUAAUAAAACCCUCAAUAAAUAUUUGAUACAUUGCUGAAUAAAAGGUAGGUUGACUUCUUAAAGUACCUGCAAAAUACCUCAUCCACAAGAGAAAAAGGCAAGAGAAUAACCUUGCUUCAUGAAGAAAGUAUCGAUCAUUCAGGCGUUAAAUUUUCCAUUUGUUCAUUUUUUUUUUUUUCCAGCAGAAACUCUUGGAGAAAUUGCAUAGCAUUAUUUUAAACAAUUCCCCUCAGAGGCCCAUUAGAUAGGCUUUUCUGCAGACAGGAUAGAUGUCUUUUACAGCUGGUCAGUGUUUAGUUCUCCCAAUACUUGACUGAAGAAAGAAAAUAACUGGGAUGUAAGAUAUCUGACCUAUAGAUUGCUCAUUCUCUGCAUGAGUCAAUCUUUGAAGUCGGAAGAUAAAAAUCACCAUUAAUCACAAAACUUUCUUACCAUCAUAAGGUCAGAUAUCCCAGGGCCCUUCCAAAAUUACCACGUGGACUGGCAUAGGGCGAGAUUGGCUCAGCUGUGGUCACUUUUAUGACACAGAGCUCCUUCCCUCUGGUUGAUGAUAUUGAAUGAGCAGGAAGGAAGAAAAGAAAUAAAAGUCAGCUAACCAUGGUUGAGUCAAUCCAGCCCACGGCAUUCAAAGGCUGAAGGGCCACCUGACACUCCAGAGGCUGCUGGAAAUGCAGGGCUGUUUCAUCCUGGGUAUUUUCCAGAGAGAAGUACUGAGAAGCUUAAAGUAUUUGAAUGGGAGGAGGAGAAGCAAACUACAGCUACUUCAGAGGAUAACACUAAACACCUAGUCCACUCUGUAUACACUAGAGGUGCUGUUAAUUUUCUUGUGGAGAAGGAACUGUCUUUAGAAAAAUAUCUCAAAAAGCCACUGAAGUAGAAAGUUUCAGCAUGCUGAAGAUGGAACUUGAGAAGAUAGAAAGUUCUGGGUCCUUAGUGGCAUGACUGAGUCGCUGGACCACUGUUGGAACCACCCUAUGUCUUAGUUUUUAAAUCUCUUUACUGUCUAAGACAUUUUUAGUGGAAGUAUUUAUCUCUGGCAUCCAAUAAGACCUUUAAGGAUUUGCAGUUUUAUCUAUGUGUUUGUUUAUUGUCUGCUCCACCCUACUUGAUUGUGAUCACCAUGACAUCAAUGACUGUGCAUCUUUUGUUCACUCAGGAAUAUCCAGUGCCUGCCACGCAGAGUGUGCUGCAUGUACAUGCUCACUUGAUAUCUGUUGUAGCAAAGAGUGAAAGAGAGAAGGAAUAAAUGCUUUCUCCCAUGAUGAGGGGACAUGGGGUCCAGACAAGCUGGACCAUUAUCCCAGGCCCAGCGCUCUGCUUUAUUUUUUUUUUUCCAGUACAGCAUCACAUUCAGUUACAACAGAGUGAAAUCUCCUAAGAACACGGCUGAUUAUUUCUUGAUUGCAAAAAGGACUCACUAACCCUCCGAUCUCCUGUAACGCAAGUCAAUGCUCUUCUAAUCUCCUUUUAGACAGCACCUGUACUUGUCAGUCAACGCAUGGUAGUCUGGGCUAGCCAAGUGAAUCCUUAACUAAACUGAAGUGGUGCUGAUCAUUCAGCCUUCAGAAUUGAAAAAAUCACAGCAUUGCUGAAGGAAAAGGCAUUUUUCAGGUAGAGAGGCAUAAGUCUUGGGCCAGGAAGCUUCAGUAAGAAGACAAUAAUUUCAUAGAAAUGCAUUAGCUUGGGGAGUCCAACUGCUGUUCUUGCACCUAAGAAAUUCAGAGGAGAGCUCUUUGCUUCCUUGCUCAUUCCAGUGGUUAGGAGUCAGGCCUUGUCCCAGAAUGUUCAGGUUGAUGCUUACCAUUUAAGCCUUAAGUUAAUCCGUUGAAGCUCCAGGCCUUUUAUGGGAUUCACAAGAAUAAACAGCAUUUAACUAUAGAUUCUCAAAGGUCAAAUCUUCAACCUAAAUCUGAGGAUUCAAAGCAUUGUUCACUCUAAUAAUUCUGCUAGUUCCCAACUUCACACAAACCAUUUAUUUCAGAAUGUAAACCUUGAAUAAUCUUUUCUUACUUGUAGUUUUGUGGUCAUUUAGAAAACAGCAAUACUCUAUUUUAAUUGGAACUAAGUGACAAAAAUAAGCCACUUCAUUAGUUUUCUAGAUAACGGUAAAAUGUAAGAACAAAAAGCCACUUCUUUUUCCACGUGGUAUUUUACAGUGACUUUUUUUUUUCUUUUUACUGCAUUUUAAAAUUCUACUGGAGGCAUUUCUCGGAAACUUUCUCUUACUUGUUAAUGAAUCAUCCCCUUUGAGAAUCAGCAGGUGAUUUCAGGAGCCCAGGUGUGAAUAAUUGAUUUAAGGUCGACCUUGUGGGUGGAGCCAAUGUUUACCAAGUGCAUUCAUUCGACAAACAAUUGAUGAACACCAAAUUAGAGUUCAAUUCCAGAUAACAAAAACCAGUUGAACUAAUUUCAUCAGAAAGCUACUUAAUAGGGGUAAUUAGGUGCUUACAAAAUAGAAGGGCUGGAAGCCCAGGAUCUAGGCUGACACCCAUGUAGCUAGACCCUGGAAACUGGGAUUCCAGCUGCACAGAACAGCCAAGUGUGUUCAUGACUGUGCUUGUUUGUCAGCAGGAGCAUGGCCCUGCCUUGUGAUACUGUGUUUUUCAGCUCUCACGUGGCUGAGUCUGUUUGGAGAAGUUGGUUCAAGAUGCAGCUUGACUCUCAGGGAGUCUGAAUAACUACCCUUAAUAUUGUUAGCUUUCUGGUCUCCAGCACACAGUAUGAUUUUCUGGAAGAAGGAUUUAAUGUAGUUAAAUAUGCCAACGUGUAAUAUCUGAUGUACAUUUCUACCCUGCUUGGGAUACAAAAUAAAUAAAAGCCAGUUUCUGUCUGUAAGGAGUGUACAGUUUAGUAAGAAGACAGACUCCUGAACAAAGAUGUAUACUUCAAUGUUGCCAGCCCAGGAUUAGAGAUGGGUAUUAAGAGGACCUCUGAUGAGUGAUAUUUUGCAUCUGGUGCAGGACAGUUCCCUAGGUGGCCUUGGACCAAACCAGUCCUCCCGCUUUCUCACUUGUAGUUUUAAGAAUAACUAGAAUGUGCUGGGAAUGCAACAUCCCGAGAUAAGGCCUAGGCUCUGUUCCAGUCCCCGCUAGAAACAGGAUGUCCUUCAGCACAUUAAUCCAGCAGGUCAUGUUAUCCCUGGAGUAGAAAACCCAGAGACGGCUACUUUCCAGGGUCCUGCAUCUGGGGUGCAAGUGAGGCACACGCAGAUGAGACUCCACCUGCCCUGGGCAGCUUUCCUGAGCCUUGAGAAACCAGCUCACCAUGAAUCCAAGGUGUCUGCUGUUCCUUGCCACCAUUUCAUGGAACCUGUUGUAUGUGUGAGUAUUCUCUCUUACCGGAGCAAGUAGUCAAAGUGCAGCCCAAGAUGCAGUGGGCUGAAGUAACCAGUGCAUAGUGAGCCUGCUUCUCACUGGGAUUUGAUUAAUCAUUUGAAAAUGCAUUAUUCUAAGUGCUUAACUUUAAAAGGGAAAAUAUUCUACUAUGAACGUGGACUCCCUAAAACAACAGAUUAAGGGAAGGCUGAAAGUGAUGACCCCUUUAAUUCCUGCUUUCCCAAGGAGACCCUCUGAUUCCCUGUGUGGUCCUUCCAUUUCCCCUUCAGGAGGCUGAAUGCCAUCGUGUCCACUUAUUUAGGCAAAGGAGAUGAAUGGGUUGCUUGGCUGCGGUUAGUCAUCAGGCCACUGGCAGAGUAGACUGGCACACGGAAAUCCUGAAGCUGAAUUCACUGUUACCUUUUGAGUCACUGUUACCCACCCACCCCAGACUUCCUCCCACCCCUAGUCUGAACCUGGAUCCUAUUCAAAGAUGUUUUCCCAUCUCUUUCCACUUACCUUCUGAAUUCAUUUUGGAGGAAUGUACCAAGAUCCUUUGAAUCCUCCAGGAAUGUUGAACUCAGUGAAAAGUGAUGUGGUUAAGAAAGCAAAUAAUAUGCUGAAAGAUGUUCAUUGGAAGUGGCUAGGGACAUCAAAGAAAUUGAUGAAUCUGCAUUUCAAAAAGCCAGCAGGGGGUAACAUUUCAGCUUACCUCAUAUUUCUCCUGCUUCUAAAUUGGCUAUUUACUGCCCAUGAAGUUUCUUCCUUCCCAUCAGGGCAGAAUACUAAUAUAGUUAGCCCCAGGAAAGAGAUGUCUGGAAAUGGUAUUGUCUUCUUAAAUCAAAGCAGCUGAAAGAAAUUUGUCUCUUUUAUUAACAAUGAAAUAUAGUUGCUAUCAAUGAGCAUCUACUGUAUUUCAGGCACUGUACUUAAACACUCUACAUGCAUUAUGCCAUUUAAUCCUCAAUCGUAUUGCUGAGAUCGAUAAUAUCAUUGACCCUAUUGUAUAGUUUGGGAAAAGGAGGGUAGCGAGAUUAGGAAAAUCGCCCAACUUGGCAACUGCUGGAGCAAGGAUUUGAGCUCUGUUGACCAUAUUGAUCACUAUAUGAUGUUGUCUCAUUGCCUUUAAACAACACUAGGGUUGGGUUAGGGUAGCAGAGGAUGUAUAUAAUAACACACACUGUUUAGUGAGAGUAAUUUUCCAGAACAAGCAAGAAAGGAGAAAUGCUUCAAUAAUCUUCUGAAGUUUAGUUUCCAUGGACAGUUAUGGAUUGCUAAGAAAUUGUCAAUAAAGGUAAGGGCCACGGAAGAAGCAGAAAUAAGCUGCACAGGCCAGGCACUGUGCCAUGUCAGUGGCAGAGCCACACCGUCACCUUCAUCAGAGCCCAAGGUCUGAAGACACUGAAAAGAAGAUCUGGCCACCAAAUGCCCUCAACAAGGGGUUGUCCAGACCCUGCUUCAACAUUGUCAGCAGCAGGGCAUGCUCCACCUCAGCAGACAGCCACUUUUGUUUUCAAGUAACUCUCUAAUUGCAAAAAAUGUACUUUGUAUUCAUCCAAAUCGGUGUCCAGGUAGCAUUCACAAGUAUUUGGGAGGCAGAGGCAGGAGGAUUCCUAGAGGACAGGAGUUCGUAUCCUCUGAAAACAUGUAGAAUAAAUCCAACUCCUUUCCCAUAUGAUAGUUCUUUGGAUAUUCAAAGCCCUUCCCCACACACCCAGCUGGCUUCUUAACCAUCCUUCAUACUGUGUGGAUUUGAACCAUUCUCCAUUGCAGUCUUUCUCCUUUAGGCACAUUAUAGUUUUGCGAAAAGUAUUUUGUUAGGUGAAGUACACAAAAUUAAAUAAGGCAUGUUUAGUGUCUUUAAGUAUCUCUUAAAGACAAUUGUAUGAGAUUAACUAUUGUCAAAAGCCCCCUUAAAAACUCUUCCGAGGUUCUGAGCAUGGGUGGGUCAUGUCUGUAAUCCCCACACUUCGGGAGGCCAAGGCAGGAGGAUCAUUUGAGGCCAGGAGUUUGAGACCAGCCUGGGCAAUAUAGUGAGACCCCAUCUCUACCAAUAAAUUAAUAAAAAUUAAAUUAAAAAACUACACCUAGAUAUAGACCAUUUGAAGAGUUCAGAGUGGAACUAUGAUGUCCCUACCUUGGACAGUAUACCUCCUUUAAGGAGACCUAAGUUUACAUUAGCAUUUGGAGUUGUGUUGAGUCAACUAAGCCUCUAAGUGUUUUUCACACUGACAGCUGCUAAGCCACAAACCAAGGGCAAUCACUACAGAGACAUGGAAUAAGAAAGAAUGAGUGUUUUCCAGGCUUUCUCUCCCAUUUAGUGAUUUGUGUUCGCACUACCUAUUCAUUCAUUACUUUACUUACUUGCUCAUCCCACAAACAUUUACUGAAUACUUAAGUCUGUCUAAUUAUGCAUAACAUACUUGGGUGGCCUGAAUGGGAAAGAAAUAUCAGACAUUACUUCCUGCCUUUAAAGAGACCUAUAAUUUAGCUAGGGAGGGAAAAAGAAAAAUAACUACAAAACGAAGUAACCUCUCAAAGCAUCACAUAAUGGAAAAAACACAGAAUUGAAUCUGGAACCUGGGUUAUAGAAAAGAGCUUUUUUUUUUUUUUUUUUUUUUGAGCUAGGAUCUUGUCUAUCACCCAGGUUGGAGUGCAAGAUCACAACUCUCUGUAGCCUUGACAUCCUGGGCUUAAGGCAAUCCUCCCACCUCAGCCUCUGGAGUAGCUAAGACUACAGGCACACACCAUCACAUCCAGCUAAUUUUUCUAGUUUUGGUAAAGAUGAGGUUUUACCAUGUUGCCCAGGCUAGUCUCAUACUCCUGUGUUCAAGCGAUCUGCCUGCCUGGGCCUCCCGAAGUGCUCUGAUUACAGGUGUGAGCCACUGUGUCUGACCUAGACAAGAGCACUGACUAAAGAUAAUCACAUUUACUCUCUAGAUCUCAGUUAUCUCAUUUAAAUAAUGAGACACCUGGACUUUUGGGGUUCUUUCUAUUUCUAAGGAUCUGUGCUUCCAAGUGCAAGAUAACUGUAAGCUUCUUGAGGGCAGGGAUCAUACUUCAUGUACAACUGAAUUUCCCAUUAAAUUUGUUACAGUUUUAACUCAUAAUAUCACACAAUACAUAUUUAUUGAAUGGUCUAAUGAAUUCAGAUUAAAUUGGCUUCAGCUUGGGAUACAAAAU